rnacentral:lncRNA from 1 species
UUGCUUAUUCACAGAAUGCAAUUUUAUUUAGCCCGAAAAAGGAAAUUGAGAUAUAUGCUGUAUGGAUAGCCCUGAAGGACACAAUAAUUGGUGAAAUGAGCUACUUCUGAAAGAACAUUGUAUGAUGCUACUCACAAGAAACUCCUAGAGCAGUCAAAUCUAGAGACUGAAUAGAAUGAUGAGACAUGGCAUCAAGUUUUCUACAUGUGCAAAUGCUUAAUGGCAUCAAAACUAUGUGCUCGGAAAUGGUAAAGAUGUUUUAGGAUGUUACAAGUAUAUAUAUUUAUGCUUUACCACAAUGUAAAUAAAGCUUGGAAGGGUGGGACCUAGUGCACAGAGGGCAGUCUCUGAGGAGUAGGUGGCGUCACAGGAGGGUUGGUAACCAGACAACCCUAGUUCUGUUCUGUACAAAGUGGUUCUGUUCCACACAGAACAGGAAGGAGUCAUCACCUGGUACAGACUAUAGCCUCCCUGCCCUCAGCACUUGUCUUCAGUUUGUCUUCCUUUACAAGCCUCUGUUCUUGCCCAGAGAGCCACUCAUUUGCUCUUAUCCCUAAAUCUCAGCAUGUUAUCUUUAGCUGCAGAAGAUCUUCCUAAGGUCUACUAGAACACCCCCCUGGCCUUAUACCACCCUUUCAACUAACUCCACCCAUGAGAAAGAAGGAGUUCACUGCCUCAGGCUCUGUUCAGGAUGAGAGCUCUCACCUCUCCUUCAAGCAAAAGGACUUCUCAGCAACCGGUCAACUUCAGAGACAGAAAAUGGUAACUUCAUAGAAGGCUACCUCACAGAGCUGUGUUAUUUUAACUGGGUGCUACAACAAUAGAUUCCUAUUUACUCAGGAAACCUACUCCUAUACAAAGGUUUAAGAAACAGAUCAAAAAGUCCAAGUAGAUUGAGAAAAUGGAGUGGUAAACCAUCAGACAGGAUGCCCCAGAAGCUGGGCCAGAGAGGGUAGUGGCCAGGGUCAGAGUGGAAAGGCAAUAGAGGUGAUCUGGACUUUAGCCUUCCAAAGCACAGACAAGCAAGCUCAGGAAAGCCCAAAGUAGUCC